AUGCAAAGGCAAUUUGGUUUUUACCUGUAUUUUUUGACAGAUUUUAAGCUGUAUUAUUUUUAUAAAGCUGUAUUUUAUUUAUUAAUAAAGCCGUAUUUUAAGAAGGCUUGCUAUUUUAUUCAAGUAUCUGUGUUGUGGUGCCCCCAGAAUGCAAUUUUUUACCAUAUAAGAAUCUUUUUGGUAUGUUGCUCACCUUUUUUAUGUCAAAAUGGAGAUUAUACUCCAGAGAAGACAAUCUCACUGCUUGGGAAAGUUUCACCUAUUAUUGAAGUUGCUGAUGGACAGCAGGAAACGAACCAUACUCAUAAAGUUUAUCACAUCUGA